GGGCGAUGCAACGCGCGCCACAAGGGGAACCCCGCGAAAAUUAGAGAUGCGUGCGCAUCACGCGCCUCCAUCUGAGCCGACGCGUAAAGCUUCGUUCACAAUACGCUUCGCAGUUGAUCCCUGGGAUGGAGAUAUAAUAAAUGUUGCCAAUGAGCAAUGCAAAUAGAUCGAAAGGACCACAUUACAUGACUGGAAUUUAUUUGAUGAUGAAAUUUUCCAAAUAUUUUCAUAUAAGAACUUUAUAAUAAGAACCACUGUUGACAGGAACAAGUAAAUUUGGAAAUGAUGCUUCCUCGAUGGAGAAGAUUAAUUAAGAUUAAUUUGAAGAAGAUAUCAUUCCCCAAGAAUUUUUAAUUUGCUCAUUAUGAACAUCAUUUUAAAAUACCAAUUUAUAAUAUAAGAUUAAAGAGAAAU